UUUUCGAAGCAACGCGAAGAACCUUACCAGGUCUUGACAUCCCUCUGACCGCUCUAGAGAUAGAGUUUUCCUUCGGGACAGAGGUGACAGGUGGUGCAUGGUUGUCGUCAGCUCGUGUCGUGAGAUGUUGGGUUAAGUCCCGCAACGAGCGCAACCCAUAUUGUUAGUUGCCAUCAUAUAGUUGGGCACUCUAGCGAGACUGCCGGUAAUAAACCGGAGGAAGGUGGGGAUGACGUCAAAUCAUCAUGCGGCUUAUGACCUGGAACUACACACGUGCUACAAUGGCUGGUACAACGAGUCGCAAGCCGGUGACGGCAAGCUAAUCUCUAUAAGCCAGUCUCAGUUCGGAUUGUAGGCUGCAACUCGCCUACAAA
rnacentral:rRNA from 1 species